rnacentral:rRNA from 1 species
UACGUAGGGUGCAAGCGUUGUCCGGAAUUAUUGGGCGUAAAGAGCUCGUAGGCGGUCUGUCGCGUCGGAUGUGAAAAUCCAGGGCUCAACCCUGGACCUGCAUUCGAUACGGGCAGACUAGAGUUCGGCAGGGGAGAAUGGAAUUCCCGGUGUAGCGGUGAAAUGCGCAGAUAUCGGGAGGAACACCGGUGGCGAAGGCGGUUCUCUGGGCCUUACCUGACACUGAGGAGCGAAAGCGUGGGGAGCGAACAGG